rnacentral:rRNA from 1 species
UACGGGGGGGGGCAAGCGUUGUUCGGAAUUACUGGGCGUAAAGGGCUCGUAGGUGGCCAACUAAGUCAGACGUGAAAUCCCUCGGCUUAACCGGGGAACUGCGCCUGAUACUGGAUGGCUGGAGUAUGGGAGAGGAAUGCGGAAUUCCAGGUGUAGCGGUGAAAUGCGUAGAUAUCUGGAGGAACACCGGUGGCGAAGGCGGCAUUCUGGUCUGUAACUGACGCUGAGGCGCGAAAGCGUGGGGAGCAAACAGG